UCUGAGAACAUUUCAAAGUGAUUCACUGCCUACUCUCCUUGAAGAUAUCACUGUUGCUGGAUGCUUAGAGUUGACUUGAUGUCAGAUUCAAACUAAUGUUGGGAAAGGGGUAAUCCACUGGGAAGCUUUCUUUGAGGAGAAUGGGAAGGCACAGAACACAACAGCAAGUUGGCAUCGAUCCCCUUGUACCCAUUUGAUAGGAGAUACUAGAGACCAGGGCAACAUUCGAGAAAACAGGGAGAUUGCUGCGGUGGGGCGAAGAUGAACAUUGAGCGGGACAUUCUGGAGAAUUACUGCCUAUUUUGUGGUCUUCCAAUUGGAGGGGUGGAAAAUUGGCCCACCUGCCGUUAUACCAGUUCUCUAUUGAAUCGAGUCCUUUAUGGGAUUUUCCAUUGGAAAUGAUGAUGAGCAGUGGCUAUGCCUGCCCAAUGUUGUGUUGCAAUAUUUAACUAAGGUGACGAGGGAACAUUGGUAUGCGUCACAUUUUUAAAAUCACUGCCUAAACAAUGUUAACUGUUAGUUGUGCCAGUAUUGUGCUGGUGCCCUGCUCUGUGCAGGCUUGUGUAAGGCUUUAAAUUUUAACAUGCUGAAAAUUCACUUCUAUCAAAUAUGGUGGUUAAUCAACAGAACCUCUCUCAUUCUGUGGGAGCACAAAUUCAUUCAUCAUCUGGUAGGAUGUCUGGCCUGUUUAAGUUGCUCCAGGCAACAGAGGUCUACAGCAGCAUCAAUUUCCCUUAUCCCUUGAGGCUAUAGCUGGUGAAAACAUCACUUGGAAUAGGUCAAAAAAUAAAUUAUUGGGUUGAUUACAGGACAUUCUCUGUAGCCAAUGGCUGGGCAGUUCCAGCGGAUAUAAAAUUGACUAUACCAGCUUAACCCCGGUGAUAUGUCACUGAGGAAAGUCCCAGCUCUUGCUUGAGGCAAAUUUAAGGCUUCUUAUGAUGUGAUUCUUAUUUCUGUAUCAAUUGAAAAUAACAAAUUAAAUUG